rnacentral:rRNA from 1 species
GCGGCGGACGGGUGAGUAACACGUGGGUAACCUGCCUGUAAGACUGGGAUAACUCCGGGAAACCGGGGCUAAUACCGGAUGCUUGAUUGAACCGCAUGGUUCAAUCAUAAAAGGUGGCUUUUAGCUACCACUUACAGAUGGACCCGCGGCGCAUUAGCUAGUUGGUGAGGUAACGGCUCACCAAGGCGACGAUGCGUAGCCGACCUGAGAGGGUGAUCGGCCACACUGGGACUGAGACACGGCCCAGACUCCUACGGGAGGCAGCAGUAGGGAAUCUUCCGCAAUGGACGAAAGUCUGACGGAGCAACGCCGCGUGAGUGAUGAAGGUUUUCGGAUCGUAAAACUCUGUUGUUAGGGAAGAACAAGUACCGUUCGAAUAGGGCGGUACCUUGACGGUACCUAACCAGAAAGCCACGGCUAACUACGUGCCAGCAGCCGCGGUAAUACGUAGGUGGCAAGCGUUGUCCGGAAUUAUUGGGCGUAAAGCGCGCGCAGGCGGUUUCUUAAGUCUGAUGUGAAAGCCCCCGGCUCAACCGGGGAGGGUCAUUGGAAACUGGGGAACUUGAGUGCAGAAGAGGAGAGUGGAAUUC